UCUGAGAUUUGUCUCUCAUCACUAUGCAGAGCAUUUUGACACUCUUAUAGUAAGAGCAUCUUCACUUUACAUACAAAGCUAUUUUGAUUAACACAAUACACCUCUCACCAAAUUCAGAAGGAAGAGUAUAUUGUCUUUCCCAAAGUAAGCAGUAGAAGAAAAGGCAACCCUGAUUCAUAGCCCAAGCCUGGGCAUUAUAGUCUACCUACUGUCCCUGAAGCCCAGAAAGAAGGGGAAAAAAUAGAUUCCCUUAGUUUCAGUCUUGGACAGCCUCUGCUGUGGGAAAAAAUAGGAAGAAAUAGACUGGGUCCUGCUCUGAGGAGUUUAAAGUCUGAGAAAAAUAGUGCCAAAUCUGGUCUCUUCCCUCUGAAUGAUUACUCCAAAUUAAGAAAAAUAAGAUCCAAUCACUUAGAAAAUAAUUAAUAAACACUAUGGAACAAUAUGUAUACUUCCAACUCUAAAUCCUAUAGGAAUUCAGAAAAAGAAGAAAUCAACUUAUACUGAAGAAGUCAUAGAAGGCUUCUUGGAAGAGGUGAAAACUGAACACAUUUAGCAAAUAUUUACUGAGCACUGCAUCAUUCCUUGCACCUGAAGUACUAGUAAUUUAGUGAUAUUAAAGAAGGAAGGACUUCCAGGUAGGGAAAACAGAAUGAACAAAGAUUUUGGAGAGCUUUCAUUUCUUGCCUCCUCCUCUCUCCCCCUACAAAUAUAUUAUCCUGUCUUAGAAAUGCAGAAGAUUAGAAAAAGAAAGCAUAAAUGAGGGUAACCAAAAUGAUGAGGAACCACAAAUCUUUUAAUAGGAAAUAACUUGAAAGAAUUGGGGAAUGUUUAGAAUGGAAAAGGAAAGAUCUAGGAUAUUGUUCUUGCCACUUCUGUUUCUUCUUUGUUGUUUCCCCCACUCCAUAAUAUAAAUUUCCUAAACAUUAUGAUGGCCCUGGGAAUUUUAUUAUUUCUCUGAGACUCUAUAAAGGAUAUUAACACAGUAGAUGGAACACAAAAACCAAAGAUGUUUAUAUACUUGUAAAUUGAUUGAUAUAUCUUAAUCUUUUGACUCUUUCAAAUAUUAAGACUCCUUUUUAAUGUCAAAAAAUCACUAACACUUCCAUUGAUAUGAUAGUAAUUUUUUUCACAAUGAAUCUUUUGCUUUAAUCAGAUAAAUGUGAAAAUGAUGAUUCUUGGCCCACAUUCACAGAUCCUUUAUAAUAAUUCUAUAUUAGCCCUUCACACAUCUGAAGCCCACAUUUCAGAAACUGAGUCAGAGAUUCUUAGAAAUGGAAGACCCUUUUGUCCUGGAAGAAUCUAAUACAGUUCGACUACCUCCUUGUACAGCUAAAAGACCUGAGGAUCAGAUAAGGAAAGUAAUACGUCAAAAAUCACAGAGUGAAUUUUUAAUAAGAAUUAAGAACAGAAUUUCCUUUCCCUUUUUCCCCUCUCCCUUUCCAAAUUUUAUUCCAGUCCAGAAGGAUCUUUCCUUAUUAUUCUGUCACUUAGUUUACACUGAAAGAAAUUAAACCAAUACUUUCUGUUAUUGUUAUUUAUUUAUUGUAUAUGUAUGUUGAUAUUUAUUGAUUAUGUCCUCUGUGCCUCACUGAAUACUGUCGGAUUUGACCCUGACCUUUUUUCCUAGAUUCAUAAUCUCCUGCAGCCUCCAAAUUUGAAAAUAAUGGGAUAAUGAAAUACAAGUAGGGUUAAGUGGAUAAAUAUUUAACAAGUGACUUUUAUGCAUGAUACAUUUUUAAAUUUAAUCAGCAUUGUUAACAUUUUUCCAUCACUUUCUUAACUCUAGACAAUCAACAAAACAACAAAUCAAGCCCUAAUUUGUAAUAUUUGCAGCAUGUGUUUACAUAUUAGUUUGAGCUGGCUCCAAGACAGUCCUAUAAAUCCAAAAUAUGACCCCCCCAGACCAUUGGCAUGACUUCUCUCAUCUCCCCAAAAGUAAGGCUCAUGUGGGACUGUUCACACAGAACUUCUAAUCACUUCUUUGAGGAUGAAUUGAUGCCCUAAGGAUAGGAGAAUAGUCUGGGAACUGGGGCCAGGUAGCAUCUUUACUCAGGGAAUAGAAGGGUUAAUAAGAUAAAGAAGAGAUGAAAGGGAAGAUAAAUUGAUAAACCUCUUUCUCCAACAGAUAUGAAUCAAGAAGACACAUGCACAGAAAUAGAGAAUGAAGAAUUGGAUGGUCUUUGGACAACCAUCUAUGUCUUCAUCGUCCUCUUCCUUCUCAGCGUUUGUUAUAGUGCCACAGUCACUUUGUUCAAGGUGAAGUGGAUUUUUUCUGCAGUCCUGCAACUGAAGCCUGGAACCUUCCAUGACUAUAAGAAUAUGAUCCAGCAGUCAACCUAGACAGCCUAGAGGAGACCUUGUCCUAGGACUGACUCCACAUGGAGCAAGAGUAUGCAGCAACAUGAAGAUCUCUUCCCAAGUAGACACAUACUUAUAAUUAUUGGGUCACUGAGUGCAAGAUUUCUUUCCCCAUACCUUAAGCCAUAAAGUUUUCCUAACUUCUAAAACAAACAUGAUCCCUAAGCCUAGCCUAAGGAUAAGAAAUGAGGUCCCUUAAUGUAAUCUUUGAGGCAGUCCCCUGCCUUGAGUACAAAAUGAGGUGUGCCUAAACAGGAGUCAGGAGUUAUAAUUCUAGGAGAACUCAUAGUACUGAGUCUGUUUGGGUCAGAGUCUUAUAGUUGGGAGAAAUCCAAGAGACAGAAAUCACUAAGCCUUCCAAGGCAAAAAUGGAACUCUGGAGAUAGGAGUGAUUUGCCCUAAGCUACACAGUAAAUUAGAGGCAGAGUCAGGGAGGCACUUAUCUCAAACUUAUGGGCUAGAAUACUCAACUGAUCUAUGGUCUUGAUGAAAUUUCCUGCACUGACCCCCCAUGACAGAAUCCUAGGCCAUCUCCCUAUGUCUCACUUUCUCAUUUCCUCAGAAACAGUGUCCUCAGGCCAGAAUAGGAACUAUGCAACCCUAUAAAAAGAGGAGUUACAGAAGGAAAUUGUGGAAACAAUCUGUGGUGUGUCACUUCAUGAGGCUCAGUCCUUCUCUAACUGAAUUUCUUGAAGCUUCCUACUGGAUCCCAAUCCAAUUCAAACCCGAGUUUAUAGGUCAAGUCAACCAAUAAUCCAGGACACAGAGAAUAGUCCAGAAAUCAGAUCUCACAUAAUUGUGUGGUACAUAAAAAAGAGCCCUUCAAUAAGAAGAAACAAGUUCAAAUACUCCCUCUGAUUUCUUGCUUUGGGAAAAGUACUUAACUUAUUUGGGCCUCAAAGAAGGUUAGACUAGAUGACUUCUAAGGUGCCUUCUAUAUCAGUAAUCCCAUGAAAUACAAGAAUGCAUCCCAUACCCCAAAUCUUAGAACCCAGCCCAUAGCCUAGAACCCAGCUCAGAGUUAGGACACAGAAUUAAGUCCAUCUGAGAAACCAGAGUUCAGAGACAAAAACCUAGAAACCAAAGACAGAGAGACCAGCUUAGAGCUCAAAGCUCAGAGCCUUUCCCUGUUCCUUCUAUCUACUAUCUUUGUCCCCAAAAUAGUAGUUUUUGUGGCCAUAGCCAUCCAAUUGCAGCACCUGCACAACUUGCUUUAUCUGCUUGUUGCUUCUCAGCAAAUAAGGAUUUGUUAUAGGGACCUCCACAAAUACAAAUAACACCACGGGUUCCCAUUUCAUUGCUCCUGCUCUCCUCCCAACACAGCUUCCUCUGUGAGAGAAUGCCCCUUGAACCCUUUUGUUAAGACAAGAAAAGCAACGUUCCCAGAACUCUGAGAGAUGACUUUCCAAAGUAUCCACUUACUCAUCUCUUUCUGGACAAAGCAAUUUUUGUUUCCAGCUCAAAGCUCAGAGCUUUUCCUAGUCUAUAUUCUAAAACAAAACUGAGGAACCUUUGGGCAAAAUUGAGGUUAAUUAGGGGUAGGGACUAUCAGACUUGGAAAAAGAAAUAUUCCAUCUGUCUUUGUCAUUACAGCUAGAUCAAAAACUUGCAUUUGGGAACUCUUCUUUCAAGGCUAUUAUUGUUUUCCCUUUGUAUUUUAGUAAAAGCUACUUUCUAAAAUCA